rnacentral:rRNA from 1 species
UAACCUGCCCUGUGGUCGGGAAUAACGUCGGGAAACUGACCCUAAUACUCGAUAGGAGAUGGUUCCUGGAAUGAUCUAUCUUUGAAACGUAAGCCUAAGGAUGGGUCUGCGGCUGAUUAGGCUGUUGGCGGGGUAAUGGCCCACCAAACCUUUGAUCAGUAAGGGCCCUGAGAGGGAAGCCCUGAGAAGGACUCUGAGACACUACUCGUAGCCCUACGGGGUGCAGCAGUUGGGAAAUCUUUACAAUGCGCGCAAGUGUGACAAGGGGAUCCCAAGUGGUACCUUAUGGGAAUAACUUUUGCCAAGCGUAAAAAGCUUGGCGAAUAAGUGGUGGGCAAGACCGGUGCCAGCCGCCGCGGUAACCCCGGCGGCACAAGUGGCAGCCACAAUUAUUGGGUCUAAAGCAUCCGUAGCUGGCCUUGUAAGUCUUUUGUGAAAUUGUGUCUCUUAAGGGCAGAAAUUGCAAUGGAUACUGCUUGGCUAGAGACCGGGAGACGUAAGAAGUAUAUUUGGGGGAGUGGUAAAAUGCGUUAAUCUCAGAUGGACUACCAAUGGCGAAGGCAUCUUACGAGAACGGUUCUGACAGUGAGGGAUGAAGGCUAGGGGCGCAAAUCGGAUUAGAUACCCGAGUAGUCCUAGCAGUAAACACUGCGCACUAGGUGUUGUGACCUCCUCGAGAGUUUGCAGUGCUGAAGCGAAGGCGAAAAGUGCGCCGCCUGGGAAGUACGGUCGCAAGACUGAAACUU